rnacentral:lncRNA from 1 species
CAGCCCCGCCCCGUCACCUCUCUCCUUUCCUUUGUCUCCUCCCUCUCUCUCAACUCUCUGUUUCCCUCCCGUGCCCAGCAGGUGCAGCACCAACCCCACCAUGGAGAGCUGCAGCCGGUCGCCAGAUCUCCUCGUCCGCGCCGCCCCAAGCCUCCUCGUCGCCGGGAAUGGAACCCCGGUGUCGGAUCUAUCGAAACCCGCCAUUCCCGCGCCUCCAGAGCCUCAUCCCCGACCUCUAGCGCUGCCGCGAGCACAGCCAUGGCCGACCAUAUUCAGAGAGGUUCAGGCUUAGCCCGUUACAGUUUCAGUUUUGUCUAGUUUCAGAUUCAGCGUGAGCUGAUGUUCAUCUAGCCGAUGCAUCCCUUUUUACCAUGAGUCGGCCGUAGCCCAGCUGGUCAGUGCCCUGCUGUGCCACCGUGAGGUCCUGAGUUCGAAUCUCAGGCGUCCCCAUUUUCGUUGUGGUUUUUUUUACAAUUUUUUUCCCUUGCAAACUGGCUUCAUUCUGUCUGCAGCCGCUCCAUGGCCAUGUUAGUGCUUCUAGCUUAGUGGGCAGCGCCACCCUAAGUUACUCAGUAGACCAGGGUUCGAAUCCCUAGCUACACACAUUUCUUUUUGCUGCACCGAGCCCAAUAUAUUAGUGUGUUUCUCCUCUUUUGUUGCAGCAUAUGUGUCUGCAUAUUUAGAGUACAUGACACUGUUUUUAAAACGUCCAUAACAUUUCAACCAUGCAUCUGAUCGGAGUGAUUUAAAUAUGUAACUUGACUAUAAUUUCGUGUAGAUUAGAAAUUUCCAACUCUCAUGCAUAAUUAGAAUUGUUUAGUGUGCUGUUUGCUUCGGUUUGCG